UUGUUUUUCUACUUGUCGACCGUUGCGUUGACGUUCGUGCAUUCGUGGUGGCUUGAAGCUGUGCUGAAUUCAAAAGUUAUGAAUUAAGACCAAACCAUAGAAUGAAAAGAAGCUUCCGUUUGAUCAUUCAGCAACUUUAAUCAAUUUACAAUGUAUAGCUUACGAAAUUUUUCACAGAAAGAAAGAGAACUGAUGGAAUUUGCCGAGUUAGCUGGGAUUAUUAUGAAUCCUCGAAUAUUAAGAAGCAUCAUUGAACUUCUUCAAGCAAACACAUCCCCAGCAUCCAUUAUUCAAAUGUUAAGCGAGUUAUCCAUCUUUCGAGUACAAGAGAAGACUAGAAGACAAAAAAUGCUCAAACAUUUGAGUGAAAAAUAAUGCUGUAGAGAUGAUUUUGUUUCUCUUCAAAUAUAUUUUUAAUUCCCUUUG